rnacentral:rRNA from 1 species
AUCCAACCUGCCCUUUACUCGGGGAUAGCCUUUCGAAAGAAAGAUUAAUACCCGAUGGCAUAAUGAUUCCGCAUGGUUUCAUUAUUAAAGGAUUCCGGUAAAGGAUGGGGAUGCGUUCCAUUAGGUUGUUGGUGAGGUAACGGCCCACCAAGGCAGUGAUAGGUAGCCGGCCUGAGAGGGUGAACGGCCACAAGGGGACUGAGACACGGCCCUUACUCCUACGGGAGGCAGCAGUGGGGAAUAUUGGACAAUGGACCAAAAGUCUGAUCCAGCAAUUCUGUGUGCACGAUGAAGUUUUUCGGAAUGUAAAGUGCUUUCAGUUGGGACGAAGAACGUGACGGUACCAACAGAAGAAGCGACGGCUAAAUACGUGCCAGCAGCCGCGGUAAUACGUAUGUCGCAAGCGUUAUCCGGAUUUAUUGGGCGUAAAGCGCGUCUAGGCGGUUUGAUAAGUCUGAUGUGAAAAUGCGGGGCUCAACCCCGUAUUGCGUUGGAAACUGCCAAACUAGAGUACUGGAGAGGUGGGCGGAACUACAAGUGUAGAGGUGAAAUUCGUAGAUAUUUGUAGGAAUGCCGAUGGAGAAGUCAGCCCACUGGACAGAUACUGACGCUGAAGCGCGAAAGCGUGGGUAGCAAACAGG